UCAGUCGACUCCUACGGGGAGGCAGCAGUGGGGAAUAUUGCACAAUGGGGGAAACCCUGAUGCAGCCAUGCCGCGUGUGUGAAGAAGGCCUUCGGGUUGUAAAGCACUUUCAGUAGGGAGGAAGGUAGUGCAGUUAACACCUGCAUUAUUUGACGUUACCUACAGAAGAAGCACCGGCUAACUCCGUGCCAGCAGCCGCGGUAAUACGGAGGGUGCGAGCGUUAAUCGGAAUUACUGGGCGUAAAGCGCAUGCAGGCGGCCUGUUAAGUCAGAUGUGAAAGACCCGGGGCUUAACCUCGGAAUUGCAUUUGAAACUGGCAGGCUAGAGUCUUGUAGAGGGGGGUAGGAAUUUCAGGUGUAGCGGUGAAAUGCGUAGAGAUCUGAAGGAAUACCAGUGGCGAAGGCGGCCCCCUGGACAAAGACUGACGCUCAGAUGCGAAAGCGUGGGGAGCAAACAGGAUUAGAUACCCUGGUAG
rnacentral:rRNA from 1 species